UACAGAGGGUGCGAGCGUUGUUCGGAAUUAUUGGGCGUAAAGCGCGUGUAGGCGGCGAUUUAAGUCGGGUGUGAAAGCCCUCAGCUCAACUGAGGAAGUGCGCCCGAGACUGAGUCGCUUGAGUGCCGGAGAGGGUGGCGGAAUUCCCCAAGUGAGAGGUGAAAUUCGUAAGAGAUGGGGAGGAACACCGGAGGCGAAGGCGGCCGACCUGGACGGUAACUGACGCUGAGACGCGAAAGCGUGGGGAGCAACAGG
rnacentral:rRNA from 1 species